rnacentral:SRP_RNA from 1 species
UGUGUGUGUGUGUGUGUGUACAUUUCCUGUGUCCUUAUGUUUACAAGGGGGAGACAAGCACCUCCACCCAGCUAAGCCUGCAUCCACAGACAUGUUUCUGAGUCUUUGGUGAUGACGAGCAAAGACUGAUGACCAGCAAAGACUCAGAAACAUGUCUCUGGAUGCAGGCUUAGCUGGGUGGAGGUGCUUGUCUCCCCCUUGUAAACAUAAGGACACAGGAAAU